AAUAAUUGUUAAUCUCUUCCAAUAUUGCUGACCAGGUUUCUUCAUCUUGAUUUAGCUCGUCAGCACCCUGGACCACUCCUCUAGAGUUGCAUCUCUUUGUGACAGUAGUUCUACCAGUUUCACGAUUACUGUUGGUGACCCCCCACAUUUUCUUAUGAUGCGUCCCUUCAGAUACUGCAUCUCUGGAGGGAUGUUUACCUUCAAAAUAUGUGUGAACAAUGCCCAGCUCUCAUCAUUGGUUCGCAGAUGCAGUCUGCAAGUGAAAUUAGUUUCAGUAAGGGGUGGAGCUUGCCAUAUAUGACAAACUGUGAAAAGUAUUCUUGUUCCAUUUGAUAUCUCAUUGAAGGCACUUCCCAUUCCUCUCCAGAAUUCACAUGCAUUCCAGACUUUACUUGAACAUGGGUCAUCGAUAACUAUAAGAUACUUCUUAUCCAUGAAGAAAGCGUUAACCGUUUGCCUCACCCUACAUAUAUAGCUUUCCUCUGUGUCCUUUGGAUCACGAUAUAUAUCAGAUCCCUCAAUGCCCAAAAUCUGCAUCAUGAUAGUUUCCUUGCUUUCACCUCUGCUUGA
rnacentral:misc_RNA from 1 species